CGAAGUAGGGCGGACGGGGUAGGAUGGGUGUUGCUGCCUGGGGAUUGUACCAGGCUCGCCCGAAAUGCAUAAGCGCCAGGACCCUCGCUACCGCUCUCUAGGGAAGAGUGGCUAAGCGACCGCUGAGCAUGGCAUGAUACGUCAUUUGCUGUGUGUGGGCGGCCGGUUGGAGAGGUGUCUGCUUUAACAGCCCUUUUUAAUUCUGGUCUCAAAUCAGGUAGGAUCACCCGCUGAACUUAAGCAUAUCAAUAAGCGGGAGGA
rnacentral:rRNA from 1 species